AGCGCGGAGGAGUCCGCAGUUCCCCGAAAGGAGACCGCCGAGAUGGAUGGCGAUAAAGUCAGUGGAGGUCCAGGACUUUCCGGGCAGGCAGGGAGUUGGGCCGGAAAACCCAACAAAAGGAGCAGCCGCCGCAAGCAACCGCAAGGGGGAAAAGCUGGAAAAGCUGGAAAACCCACGGAGCCCAGCAGGACUUGUUUUCUUUUUUGUCAUGUUACAAUUCUGCAGCGACAGCAGUAAAAAAUAAUGCCCUCACCCCCGCCCCCAAGGCAACCACAACUUGUGCAACAUCAUAAACCCAUUUGCGUUUUUAAUUAGUAACAUCGCAACUUGGCGGACUGAGGCGGCCGAGGGCGAAAAGCAAAUGACCAUGCACAAAAUGUUGCACUGAAACAGAUAGCCCAGUCCUGGCUCCAUAAAACCGAAAAAAGAGAUGAAAAACUGGAGCAAAUAAGUGCGAACCCAACUAGCCGGUGGUCAGUUCAUCCCCAUUGCCGUCAUAAAAGAGUCCGCCAACAAAGUUGAAAAAGCGCAGCUCAAGUGGGGCAGCCUCCUCCAGUCGGGAGUUGGGAGUCGGGAAUGGUUUCGGUUUUCG